rnacentral:rRNA from 1 species
GUUAAGCGACUAAGCGUACACGGUGGAUGCCCUGGCAGUCAGAGGCGAUGAAGGACGUGCUAAUCUGCGAUAAGCGUCGGUAAGGUGAUAUGAACCGUUAUAACCGGCGAUUUCCGAAUGGGGAAACCCAGUGUGUUUCGACACACUAUCAUUAACUGAAUCCAUAGGUUAAUGAGGCGAACCGGGGGAACUGAAACAUCUAAGUACCCCGAGGAAAAGAAAUCAACCGAGAUUCCCCCAGUAGCGGCGAGCGAACGGGGAGCAGCCCAGAGCCUGAAUCAGUGUGUGUGUUAGUGGAAGCGUCUGGAAAGGCGCGCGAUACAGGGUGACAGCCCCGUACACAAAAAUGCACAUGCUGUGAGCUCGAUGAGUAGGGCGGGACACGUGGUAUCCUGUCUGAAUAUGGGGGGACCAUCCUCCAAGGCUAAAUACUCCUGACUGACCGAUAGUGAACCAGUACCGUGAGGGAAAGGCGAAAAGAACCCCGGCGAGGGGAGUGAAAAAGAACCUGAAACCGUGUACGUACAAGCAGUGGGAGCACGCUUAGGCGUGUGACUGCGUACCUUUUGUAUAAUGGGUCAGCGACUUAUAUUCUGUAGCAAGGUUAACCGAAUAGGGGAGCCGAAGGGAAACCGAGUCUUAACUGGGCGUUAAGUUGCAGGGUAUAGACCCGAAACCCGGUGAUCUAGCCAUGGGCAGGUUGAAGGUUGGGUAACACUAACUGGAGGACCGAACCGACUAAUGUUGAAAAAUUAGCGGAUGACUUGUGGCUGGGGGUGAAAGGCCAAUCAAACCGGGAGAUAGCUGGUUCUCCCCGAAAGCUAUUUAGGUAGCGCCUCGUGAAUUCAUCUCCGGGGGUAGAGCACUGUUUCGGCAAGGGGGUCAUCCCGACUUACCAACCCGAUGCAAACUGCGAAUACCGGAGAAUGUUAUCACGGGAGACACACGGCGGGUGCUAACGUCCGUCGUGAAGAGGGAAACAACCCAGACCGCCAGCUAAGGUCCCAAAGUCAUGGUUAAGUGGGAAACGAUGUGGGAAGGCCCAGACAGCCAGGAUGUUGGCUUAGAAGCAGCCAUCAUUUAAAGAAAGCGUAAUAGCUCACUGGUCGAGUCGGCCUGCGCGGAAGAUGUAACGGGGCUAAACCAUGCACCGAAGCUGCGGCAGCGACACUAUGUGUUGUUGGGUAGGGGAGCGUUCUGUAAGCCUGUGAAGGUGUGCUGUGAGGCAUGCUGGAGGUAUCAGAAGUGCGAAUGCUGACAUAAGUAACGAUAAAGCGGGUGAAAAGCCCGCUCGCCGGAAGACCAAGGGUUCCUGUCCAACGUUAAUCGGGGCAGGGUGAGUCGACCCCUAAGGCGAGGCCGAAAGGCGUAGUCGAUGGGAAACAGGUUAAUAUUCCUGUACUUGGUGUUACUGCGAAGGGGGGACGGAGAAGGCUAUGUUGGCCGGGCGACGGUUGUCCCGGUUUAAGCGUGUAGGCUGGUUUUCCAGGCAAAUCCGGAAAAUCAAGGCUGAGGCGUGAUGACGAGGCACUACGGUGCUGAAGCAACAAAUGCCCUGCUUCCAGGAAAAGCCUCUAAGCAUCAGGUAACAUCAAAUCGUACCCCAAACCGACACAGGUGGUCAGGUAGAGAAUACCAAGGCGCUUGAGAGAACUCGGGUGAAGGAACUAGGCAAAAUGGUGCCGUAACUUCGGGAGAAGGCACGCUGAUAUGUAGGUGAAGUCCCUCGCGGAUGGAGCUGAAAUCAGUCGAAGAUACCAGCUGGCUGCAACUGUUUAUUAAAAACACAGCACUGUGCAAACACGAAAGUGGACGUAUACGGUGUGACGCCUGCCCGGUGCCGGAAGGUUAAUUGAUGGGGUUAGCCGCAAGGCGAAGCUCUUGAUCGAAGCCCCGGUAAACGGCGGCCGUAACUAUAACGGUCCUAAGGUAGCGAAAUUCCUUGUCGGGUAAGUUCCGACCUGCACGAAUGGCGUAAUGAUGGCCAGGCUGUCUCCACCCGAGACUCAGUGAAAUUGAACUCGCUGUGAAGAUGCAGUGUACCCGCGGCAAGACGGAAAGACCCCGUGAACCUUUACUAUAGCUUGACACUGAACAUUGAGCCUUGAUGUGUAGGAUAGGUGGGAGGCUUAGAAGUGUGGACGCCAGUCUGCAUGGAGCCGACCUUGAAAUACCACCCUUUAAUGUUUGAUGUUCUAACGUUGACCCGUAAUCCGGGUUGCGGACAGUGUCUGGUGGGUAGUUUGACUGGGGCGGUCUCCUCCUAAAGAGUAACGGAGGAGCACGAAGGUUGGCUAAUCCUGGUCGGACAUCAGGAGGUUAGUGCAAUGGCAUAAGCCAGCUUGACUGCGAGCGUGACGGCGCGAGCAGGUGCGAAAGCAGGUCAUAGUGAUCCGGUGGUUCUGAAUGGAAGGGCCAUCGCUCAACGGAUAAAAGGUACUCCGGGGAUAACAGGCUGAUACCGCCCAAGAGUUCAUAUCGACGGCGGUGUUUGGCACCUCGAUGUCGGCUCAUCACAUCCUGGGGCUGAAGUAGGUCCCAAGGGUAUGGCUGUUCGCCAUUUAAAGUGGUACGCGAGCUGGGUUUAGAACGUCGUGAGACAGUUCGGUCCCUAUCUGCCGUGGGCGCUGGAGAACUGAGGGGGGCUGCUCCUAGUACGAGAGGACCGGAGUGGACGCAUCACUGGUGUUCGGGUUGUCAUGCCAAUGGCACUGCCCGGUAGCUAAAUGCGGAAGAGAUAAGUGCUGAAAGCAUCUAAGC